rnacentral:rRNA from 1 species
AGAGUUUGAUCCUGGCUCAGAACUAACGCUUGUGGCGUGUCUUAGUCAUGCAAGUCGAACGAGAAAGCCCUCUUCGGAGGGUGAGUAGAGUGGCGAACGGGUGAGUAACACGUGGGUAACCUGCCUCUGAGUCGGGGAUAACACUCCCAACGGAGUGCUAAUACCGGAUGAAAAAUCGCAACGCAAGUUGUCGCUUUUAAAGGUGGCCUCUGCUUGCAAGCUGCUGCUCAGAGAUGGGCCCGCGCCGCAUUAGCUAGUUGGUGAGGUAACGGCUCACCAAGGCGAUGAUGCGUAGCCGGCCUGAGAGGGCGAUCGGCCACACUGGAACUGAGACAAGGUCCAGUCCCCUACGGGGGCCAGCAGUCUAGAAACUUGCACAAUCGACGAAAGUCGGAUGCAGCGACGCCACGUGGAGGAUGAAGCCCCUCGGGGUGUAAACUCCUGUCAGGAGGGAAGAAGGCGCGAGCGAUAACACCGCUUGCUGCUUGACGGUACCUUCAAAGGAAGCUCCGGCUAACUACGUGCCAGCAGCCGCGGUAAUACGUAGGGAGCGAGCGUUGUUCGGAUUUACUGGGCGUAAAGGGCAGGUAGGCGGGUGCGCAAGUCGGUUGUGAAAUCCUCUGGCUUAACCAGAGAACUGCAGCCGAAACUGCAUACCUUGAGUCCAGCAGAGGGAAUCGGAAUCCUAGGUGUAGCGGUGAAAUGCAGAUAUCUAGGAGAACACCAGUGGCGAAGGCGGAUUCCUGGGCUGGCACUGACGCUGAGCUGCGAAAGCGUGGGUAGCGAACAGGAUUAGAUACCCUGGUAGUCCACGCCGUAAACGAUGGGUACUAGGUGUUGGAGGAUAUUGACCCCUUCAGUGCCGCAGCUAACGCACUAAGUACCCCGCCUGGGGAGUACGGCCGCAAGGCUGAAACUCAAAGGAAUUGACGGGGACCCGCACAAGCAGUGGAGCAUGUGGCUCAAUUCGAGGCAACGCGAAGGACCUUACCUGGGCUUGACAUCUGGGGAAUUCUCUGGAAACAGAGAAGUGCCUUCGGGAGCCCCAAGACAGGUGCUGCAUGGCUGUCGUCAGCUCGUGUCGUGAGAUGUUGGGUUAAGUCCCACAACGAGCGCAACCCCUGUCCUUAGUUGCCAGCGGGUAAUGCCGGGAACUCUAGGGAGACUGCCUGUAACAAGCAGGAGGAAGGUGGGGAUGACGUCAAGUCAUCAUGGCUCUUACGUCCAGGGCUGCACACGUGCUACAAUGGCCGGCACAAAGGGUUGCGAUGCCGUGAGGUGGAGCCAAUCCCAAAAAAACCGGUCUCAGUUCGGAUUGAAGUCUGCAACUCGACUUCAU